AAGACUGUUUCCAGGGUCAAAGUUAUCUAUUUAUCCACAGAACAGGUAAAGCAAAGGAAGCAGAACUGCAAACUUCCCUACAUGCCCAAAUGCAACUCACUCAUGCCUUUCAGUGACCAACUCUACAUAUGAGCGGGUAGUAUGCUCCUCAUAAUUAUUCACACUCUGGCCUUU
rnacentral:sRNA from 1 species